GCCAGUGUGGCAUAAUGGUUUUAGUGUUUGACUUUGAAUCUGGGGACCAGGGUUCGAUUCCCUACUUGGCCA